GAUGAACGCUGGCGGCGUGCCUAAUACAUGCAAGUAGAACGCUGAAGCUUGGUGCUUGCACCGAGCGGAGGAGUUGCGAACGGGUGAGUAACGCGUAGGUAACCUGCCUCUUAGCGGGGGAUAACUAUUGGAAACGAUAGCUAAUACCGCAUAAAAGUCGACAUUGCAUGAUGUUGACUUGAAAGGUGCAACUGCAUCACUAAGAGAUGGACCUGCGUUGUAUUAGCUAGUUGGUGAGGUAACGGCUCACCAAGGCGACGAUACAUAGCCGACCUGAGAGGGUGAUCGGCCACACUGGGACUGAGACACGGCCCAGACUCCUACGGGAGGCAGCAGUAGGGAAUCUUCGGCAAUGGACGGAAGUCUGACCGAGCAACGCCGCGUGAGUGAAGAAGGUUUUCGGAUCGUAAAGCUCUGUUGUAAGAGAAGAACGAGUGUGAGAGUGGAAAGUUCACACUGUGACGGUAACUUACCAGAAAGGCGGCUAA
rnacentral:rRNA from 1 species